CCCUUAGAUGUUCUGGGCUGCACGCGUGCUACACUGAUAUUGCCAAUAUGCCAUUCUUAUCCGAAAUGGAUUGGGUAAUCAAGUAAUGAAAUUUCAUGCUUGGAAUCGGUAAUUGCAAUUUUAUCGUGAACGAGGAAUUCCUAGUAAGCACUAGUCAUCAGCUAAUGUUGAUUAUGUCCCUGCCCUUUGUACACACCGCCCGUCGCUACUACUGAUUGGGUGUUCAAGUGAGAUGCUUAGACCCUUGUUGCAUGGUUCAUUAUUGUGCUCCGAAAGGAAAAAGUUUCAAGCUUGAGUGUCUAGAGGAAGUAAAAGUCGUAACA
rnacentral:rRNA from 1 species